UAUAAGCAAAAAAUAUUUUAAUAAUAUUAAUAAUUUUUCAAUGAAAUAUCAAUUGUUAUUUCAAACAAUCGUACAAUAAGAAUUUCACAUUAUGAAACGCUUUAGAAUAUGAAUACAUGACAAAAAAGAAGUGCAAAAAAAUGUUUUGGUUUUCAAGUGCUCGACAGGAUUUCAUCCAAAGUUUUUAUUUAAAAUUUGAUGCCUUAAGAGCUAAAUAUAAAUGACUAUAAUUUAAAACAAGAUUGUGUUGAGCUUCCAUUUGUGUUAAGGGUAUUUCCGUGAAAAUAAAUACAUAAUUUUGUUCUACAGCUAGACGCUCCUAUUAAAGCUUGCUCUUCACAAAACAUGACCAGUGAGGAAGGAAAUGGAAAGGAGAUUUGACUGGACAUUAAUUUGGAAGGUAGUAGCCUGCUGAAAAGUCCAGAUGUGAGCAACUUGUAAUUCAGGAUUUUGCUGCCCUACUGAUUCUUGAAGAGAUAUUACAGAUGGUUAC